rnacentral:rRNA from 1 species
AGUGAACGCUGGCGGUAGGCCUAACACAUGCAAGUCGAACGGCAGCACAGUAAGAGCUUGCUCUUACGGGUGGCGAGUGGCGGACGGGUGAGGAAUACAUCGGAAUCUACUUUUUCGUGGGGGAUAACGUAGGGAAACUUACGCUAAUACCGCAUACGACCUACGGGUGAAAGCAGGGGAUCUUCGGACCUUGCGCGAUUGAAUGCGCCGAUGUCGGAUUAGCUAGUUGGCGGGGUAAAGGCCCACCAAGGCGACGAUCCGUAGCUGGUCUGAGAGGAUGAUCAGCCACACUGGAACUGAGACACGGUCCAGGCUCCUACGGGAGGCAGCAGUGGGGAAUAUUGGACAAUGGGCGCAAGCCUGAUCCAGCCAUACCGCGUGGGUGAAGAAGGCCUUCGGGUUGUAAAGCCCUUUUGUUGGGAAAGAAAAGCAGCAGGUUAAUACCCCGCUGUUCUGACGGUACCCAAAGAAUAAGCACCGGCUAACUUCGUG